UGGAAACUCUGCGCCCUCCUCUUCCGAAAAAGCCGGCCAUCCGGCUUCGCCUGUCGUCUAAGCAGAGGAGAGGGGGGGGACGGGGCCGCCACGGCUCCCCCUUUCUCGACAGGGGGGUCCCCUCCGUUUCAAUCGCACUCCGGCCGCGAUCUCUCACGAGGACCCCCAAACUGAACGCGCGCUUCGUUGGCUCUCGCUCCUCUUCCUCUCCAAGGAGCGACUUGCCCGUCGAGGGAGAGAGAGAGAGUUGGUCCGCGCGGAUCUCUCUCUGUCUCUCCCGGAAAAAAGUGCUCUCUCGACAGUUUCCUGACGAGGUUUUCUCGGAAACGCUCUUCCACUUGAAGGCGGCGCUUCGUUCCGAGGACCUCAAAACCACACACAUUUUUCUCUGCUAUUGAACCUCAGACAACCCUGUGAAGUAGACCGAGAGUUGGUGAUUGGCCCAAUAUCAACUGGUUGAAAGCAAGGGGCAUCUCUGUUGCCCAGAACUAAGAGGAUACUCAGAGAAACACACCAGGAACAUUCUCUCAUUGACUGACCACCAAGUUAAUCAGCUGGGGGGAGAGACGCAAAUCAGACAUGCCCCACCCCAAACAGAACACUUCCUGCAUUUGAUGAAGGAGAGUGAUUGAAGAACAUGGGAAGCUGCCUCACACCGAGUCACAGCACCGAGCUCAGUAUUGUUGGUACUCGCUGGCAGCAACUUUUUUCAGAGACAGGACAUACCCAGGUCUACCGGGGGAUGUUGGAGAUUCAACUUGGAGUCUUCUGCAUGCAAAGCUCUACCCCUGAGCGACGAUGACCUUUCCCUAGGUAGAAAGCAUGAAUCCACCAAAUAAACUAUCUGA